AAUUAAGGUCCUAGUCCAUUCAGGGUGCUGCUGUGUUGCAUGUUGGCUCACCGGAACGUCUCGGCUACAAUAAAUGGAGCAGAACCUUAAUAGGUAUCAUUGGAAACACCUGUGUUGACUCUACUAUUUCAUGUUAAAAUGGCUGCUGUGAACAAGGUCUGUCAAAGUGCUCGAUGCAAUGUGCUGCUGGAAAAAGAAGAAACCAAAAGUGACCAAAGACAGAUGGACUCAACGGGCUUUGCUCUGUGAUGAACUGGUGACUUGUCCAGGGUGUACCCCGCCUCUCGCUGACUGCCUGCUGGGAUCGACUCCAGCCUCCUGCAACCCUGAAAGAAAAGCAGAUACAGAAAAUGGAUGGUUGGCUUGAUAAUGACUGACCUGUUCACUGUCACGUAACUUUAAAACACUUCUUUGAGAUCUACUCUAUGUCUUGACUUUUUAAUUUCUUUUGGUCAAGUUAGACCAAAAAAAAA